UACGUAGGUGGCAAGCGUUGUCCGGAAUUAUUGGGCGUAAAGCGCGCGCAGGCGGUUUCUUAAGUCCAUCUUAAAAGCGUGGGGCUCAACCCCAUGAGGGGAUGGAAACUGGGAAGCUGGAGUAUCGGAGAGGAAAGUGGAAUUCCUAGUGUAGCGGUGAAAUGCGUAGAGAUUAGGAAGAACACCGGUGGCGAAGGCGACUUUCUAGACGAAAACUGACGCUGAGGCGCGAAAGCGUGGGGAGCAAACA
rnacentral:rRNA from 1 species